rnacentral:rRNA from 1 species
CCCGCACAAGCGGUGGAGCUAUGUGGUUUAAUUCGAAGCAACGCGAAGAACCUUACCAGGCCUUGACAUGCAGAGAACUUUCCAGAGAUGGAUUGGUGCCUUCGGGAACUCUGACACAGGUGCUGCAUGGCUGUCGUCAGCUCGUGUCGUGAGAUGUUGGGUUAAGUCCCGUAACGAGCGCAACCCUUGUCCUUAGUUACCAGCACGUUAUGGUGGGCACUCUAAGGAGACUGCCGGUGACAAACCGGAGGAGGGUGGGGAUGACGUCAAGUCAGCAUGGCCCUUACGUCCGGGGCUACACACGUGCUACAAUGGCCGGUACAAAGGGUUGCGAAGCCGUGAGGUGGAGCGAAUCUCAAAAAGCCGGCCUCAGUUCGGAUUGGAGGCUGCAACUCGCCUCCAUGAAGUCGGAAUCGCUAGUAACCGCAGAUCAGCUACGUUGCGGUGAAUACGUUCCCGGGCCUU